AUGGGCCACGUUCCUCGGCCCCCGAGCAUGAUUUCCCUCCUCGAGAUCCAUGUCGCCAAGGAGGGUUGGCACGUCCGCAAGAAACAAAGGCGCCUCCAUGGGCUCCGCAAGCCUGAUGUAACCUCGCUGCUCCAUGCUGCAGCGCGACUUGAGCCGAAGGAGGUCAUCUUUGGCCUCCGCUUGGAAAUAAUAAAUCCCUAUAUUGUGGGUCUACCUUGCUUCCACCGCGCCACCUCGAUCACGAUGGAACUUCCCGUCGUCAUCUGUCGUGUGCCAGACGGUGUCGAGUUCACCGCACUCAAGACGUUGACUCUGUCGUCCUGCUACAUCAACAUCGUUGCCAUGCUCUCAUGUUGCCCGUGCUUGCGCACGCUCCACCUCAAGCGUGUUGGCAUACAUGAGCACGACCUAACAAUCCACUCUCCGUCACUUCAGGAGAUUGUAGUGGACAGGAAUUCAUGGAUAGACCAUGUAGACAUCGUUGCCCCCAUGCUUAAGAAAUUUACCAUGUCCUUUGCCACAAUGGAGGAGUCCAAAAUUUUCUUCUUGGCCCCAGUGGUGGAGAAGGUGUCAUGGAACUGGUUACCCAGAUGGCCCAUUGUGUUUGGUCUUUAG
rnacentral:rRNA from 1 species